GAGGUUUUUUGCAGGAGUGGAUGGGUGAGAUUCUGUGGCCUGCAUUGUGCAGGAGGUCAGACUAGAUCAUAAUGGUCCCUUCUGACCUUAAUAUCUAUGAAUCUAUAAGUCUCUGACUAGGACACUGUGCCUAAGGAUUCCACAACUCAUUCUGCAUGGGUGGAGAGGUGCACCCCACGCAGAGCAUGUUGCAGAAUUAGGACCUGUGUUGUUAGUCUCUAUUUUCAUCUGAUGUUUGGCUGGUUACUUAUAUGAAAUGAAUUGGUGAUUUCUGUUCAGUAGGGAAGUGUUUGCAUUGCAAUCGACAUCCCUUUUGGCAGCCUGAGGAGAGAGGCCAAUGAACAAAUGGAACCUGAAUCUUAUCCCUGCUGUUGCUCGCUACAUAUUUGAGGCAUACUGGCUUGGCAGGACAGCACAUGGAAGCUUGCGCUGCUCCCUACGCUGUACCUAAUCUAUGCAGAGGGAAAGCACUUGCAACUCUAGUGCUAUCAGUCUGGCACCUUUCACAAGCAUUACAUUCACUGAAUACCAAGACGGGGGGGAAAAACAUUAGAAACUGACCUGAUUUGUUAUAUAAUACAUUAACCUGCAUUUUUAACAACUGUAGUUUCUUUGAACGUUUAACAGGUGUUUUUAAACUGCCAUUUAAACCUGAGAGAAAGGUGAUCAGAUGUGAAGUAAAGGCAAGUUUGUUAUGUGAAGGAGUUGCCCUGCUACAUGUACCUGGGGAAAAAAUGUGUAAUCCUUGCUUCUGCAUCCUUCUGAUCCAACUUUUACACCACCUUGCAACUGCACACCACCCAGUGGUAGGUUUGCUUUUGAGAUGCACAUCAUGCAAGCCAACAAAGAUUCAGUAUGAGAAGAGUGUGUGAGAAGCUAUUAAAGUUUUGAACUGUCUCUAAAUUGAUGUUACAUGAGCAGCACAAUCCCAGAAUUUACUCCAGAGUGAAAUUUUUGAAAUAUUUUUUUAAAAGGCCCUACUUCAAAUUACUUUAAAAUGGUGUUUAAAUUAAAAAUAUCCUUACAUUUUGAACAGCUCUCUUUUCAGCGCUGAAAAACAAUGGAAAAACCAAAGUGUAUUUUCUGCUAUAAUUACCAAUGCAAAAGAAAAAGCACCAGUAAAGAAACUUUUCUGCAGAAGUUCUUUCUAGAGAGUUUUAAACUUUUUUUUUUUUUUUUUUUUGGAAAAAGAAUACUAGGUAUCUUAAACAACCUGCUUUCUAAAAGAUGGAUCGACAGGCUUGCAGAUUUCCACUUACUGGUUAUUUAGGUGUUUUGUUUAAACUUGAAUUCUGUGAUGAGAAUUUCAGCCCACUGAAAAUGUCAUAUUAACCCCUUAGAAAUUACUAGAGUUGAGCAAAUAACUUUCAGCAAAUAUUGUGUUCAAAUUUCCAUGCUUUUUUGUUUUAAAAUUUUUUCAAGCAGUCUGAUUUUUCAGUUAUUUGAAAUAAUACAUUAUCUGUGAAUACAAAAAUACCUUAAUCUCCGUUUAUACUUCUGCUUUUUAUCGGUUGUAGGGAACAAUCCUGCAUUGGCAGGAUGUAAUUAUCCUUGCCCUUUCCAUAGUUUUACCUGCAUAAGCAUUUUAUAAAUUUUGCAUUAAAAUGUUUGACAUAAA